AUGGAUCUUCAUUCAGUUAUUCUGUUCUGUGCCUCAGCAGCUGCUGUCUUUGGAAAUGUCAUCAAACCGAACAAAACCGAUGUUGUUUAUGAGGAGGGUUCGAAUGUUAUAUUGUCCUGUAGUCAUUCACCUGCAGCUUCAGAUGAUCUCCACUGGUACCGUCAGUAUGAAAGAUCAAAACCUGAAUUUAUUGUACUCACCUACGGUAGUGCAAAAGAAGUUAAGGUGUCUGAUAUAGAUCCAAGAUUCUCUGUUGAAGUUGAAAAAAGGGAACAAAUUCAUGUGGAUCUGGAGAUCUCCUCUGCUGCUGUAUCAGACUCUGCUCUGUACUACUGUGCUCUGAGGCCCACAGUGACAGGAAACAUAUCAGCUCUGUACAAAAACCUGUUACAAUGA